UACGAGUGCUCCAAGCGUUAUCCGGAAUCAUUGGGCGUAAAGGGUGUGUAGGCGGUGCUCUAAGUUCGGUGUGAAAUCUCCCGGCUUAACUGGGAGGGUGCGCCGGAAACUGGAGUGCUCGAGCGUGGGAGAGGAAAGCGGAAUUCCUGGUGUAGCGGUGAAAUGCGUAGAUAUCAGGAGGAACACCUGCGGUGUAGACGGCUUUCUGGACCAUUGCUGACGCUGAGACACGAAAGCGUGGGUAGCAAACAGG
rnacentral:rRNA from 1 species